rnacentral:rRNA from 1 species
GGCGGCAGGCCUAACACAUGCAAGUCGAGCGGUAACAUUUCUAGCUUGCUAGAAGAUGACGAGCGGCGGACGGGUGAGUAACGCGUAGAAAUCUACCUAGUAGUGGGGGAUAGCCCAGAGAAAUUUGGAUUAAUACCGCAUACGCCCUACGGGGGAAAGCAGGGGAUCUUCGGACCUCGUGCUAUUAGAUGAGUCUGCGUCGGAUUAGCUUGUUGGUGAGGUAAUGGCUCACCAAGGCGACGAUCCGUAGCUGGUCUGAGAGGAUGACCAGCCACACUGGAACUGAGACACGGUCCAGACUCCUACGGGAGGCAGCAGUGGGGAAUAUUGCACAAUGGGCGCAAGCCUGAUGCAGCCAUGCCGCGUGUGUGAAGAAGGCCUUAGGGUUGUAAAGCACUUUCAGCAGUGAGGAAAGGGGUGUCGUUAAUAGCGCCAUCCUGUGACGUUAACUGCAGAAGAAGGACCGGCUAACUCCGUG